AUUGAACGCUGGCGGCAGGCCUAACACAUGCCAGUCGAACGGUAACAGGAAGCAGCUUGCUGCUUCGCUGACGAGUGGCGGACGGGUGAGUAAUGUCUGGGAAACUGCCUGAUGGAGGGGGAUAACUACUGGAAACGGUAGCUAAUACCGCAUAACGUCGCAAGACCAAAGAGGGGGACCUUCGGGCCUCUUGCCAUCGGAUGUGCCCAGAUGGGAUUAGCUAGUAGGUGGGGUAACGGCUCACCUAGGCGACGAUCCCUAGCUGGUCUGAGAGGAUGACCAGCCACACUGGAACUGAGACACGGUCCAGACUCCUACGGGAGGCAGCAGUGGGGAAUAUUGCACAAUAGGCGCAAGCCUGAUGCAGCCAUGCCGCGUGUAUGAAGAAGGCCUUCGGGUUGUAAAGUACUUUCAGCGGGGAGGAAGGGAGUAAAGUUAAUACCUUUGCUCAUUGACGUUACCCGCAGAAGAAGCACCGGCUAACUCCGUG
rnacentral:rRNA from 1 species